rnacentral:rRNA from 1 species
AUUGAACGCUGGCGGCAGGCCUAACACAUGCAAGUCGAACGAGUGGCGGACGGGUGAGUAAUGUCUGGGAAACUGCCUGAUGGAGGGGGAUAACUACUGGAAACGGUAGCUAAUACCGCAUACCAUCAGAUGUGUCCAGAUGGGCUUAGCUAGUUGGUGGGGUAACGGCUCACCAAGGCGCCGAUCCCUAGCUGGUCUGAGAGGAGGACCAGCGCCACGGGAGCUGAGCAACGUUCCAGCCGCCGACGUGAGGCACCAGUGGGGAAUAGUGCACAAGGGGCGCAAGCCUGAUGCAGCCAUGCCGCUUGUAUGAAGAAGGCCUUCGGGUUGUAAAGUACUUUCAGCGGGGAGGCGUUACCCGCAGAAGAAGCACCGGCUAACUCCGGGCCAGCAGCCGCGGUAAUUC